GGACAGUGCGGCCCCGCCCCCCUCGGCCCCUACAGUGCACACCCGCCGGGGUCGGGUCAUCAUCCCUCCACGGCACAAGGAUUUUGACUAUGGGUGAAUUCUGGGGGGGCUUGUGUGGUGUUUACAUAAUUCACCCGCGGGACCUCGAGUUGGGGUGCGGGGUUCCGCACGGACUGUUUUUGUUGUUGCGCUUCCGGAGGAAAGGUUAACAGAGUUCCCGCCGUUAUGCGAGUAGUUUGGUGAUGUCGAACAAUAAAGCAAGUUCUGUUUCUGUGUCCGACACUCCGCCUCCGACUCCUUUUCUCCGGCGCUACAAACCCUUCCCGGUAGAUAUCGGGAGAUUAGAGAACAAGGAAUGGUGUUCUUGUGGCUUGUGCCAGCCCAUGUUGACAGUGGCCGAGUGUGUGUGCUUUCGCGAACAAGAAAAGGUGUCGGGCAAAAGGGAACAGGAUCCAACAGGCAACCUGCAUCACCCAGCACCAUGGCUUCGAGGCUGUUUGCCUAAACGAGGAAGUCUUGGAGACAGUCUACAGUGCCUACAGGCAACAGUACCGCCAUGAUGUCGGCAACGAAUGGAAACAGUACACACCGUACAGACAAUUUGUGAGAUGGUGCUAUGGAUUUCUAGGCCGACGUGUGUGUCCCUCUUCCGUCAUGUGCUGUUCAGAAGAUUAGAGGGACGUUUUUCUCAGACUACGUGGGAUUUCGUGAGACUGAUGAUGGAAACUAAGCCCACUUUUAGUUGUUUCUUUGUU